UUUUUUCUCUUUUUUUUUUGCUUUUUCAGAAGUCCUCAGAGUUAAUAGCCUGAAGUUGUUUGGAAACCUGAGAAACUGAAGUCCUGAAGACCUUUCUCCUGCUUCUUGGUAGAAAGAUGACACGUGCAUGCCACUGUGCUACCGGCAAAGAGUGAUUCCUGCUUUUUGAUCUUGGAAAGAGAAGAUGAAACAGUGACUCAACCAGCUUAGGCGCUCCAAAUAAUGCCAUCAGCACAAGGGAAAGAUCAGCAGAGCAAGAGAGGCUGGGUUCAAAGCUUUUGCAUCUUCUAAGAACAGUCUCAAGCACCUGCAGAGCUGUUCAGAGCUACCACCACCCAUCAGCCUUGCUGAGCCUUGUCACCAGUAGAGCUCAAAACAGAUUUUCUGAAAACUUCCAGGGAACUUCAGCACAAAUCCUGUUCAUUUUGCCAGAACAAAUGAAGUGUAGAAUAUAUUAAGUGGGCUUGUUUCACCUUAAUAAAAUUAUGAGAAGGGGAAAGUUUAUUUGAGAAAUAAACACGACUACAAGACACAAAAAGUUCAUUAUUUGUAAAGGGGGGUUUCUUUUUUUAACGCAGAUGUGGCUGUAACUGUGUUUGAGACCUUUGGCUGAAUUAAUUAUACUUUUAAAUCAUCCCAGAUAACAAAGCUACAAACAAAGAACCCUUUUUGUAUCAGACAAAGAUGUGCCACCUUUCUCAGUUCUGUGAACCAAUCCACUACCAAACAUGGUGCCAAAUACUGAAGUGGAAUAUGAAACUGGGAGAUACUCAGGAGGACCUGCAAGACUAGCCAAGAAUGGAAGAGUGCUUGGGAAGGCAUGAAGAAAAGCUGGAGAUAUUGUGAGGGUCUGAAUUAUUUUAAUGGGUAGAGACCUCCUGAAAGUGACAAUUUUCCAUAGGGUGCUGAACACAAGAGAUCUCUAGGGAGGGAGAUCAAUUUGAGGAGCUGGAAGUGUGAUAUGUCAAAUCACACAUAUUCGGGAAGACAAAAUGCCAUCACCCUGAACAUUUCCACCUUCCUCCUUCCCUCCCUUUUAUAUACUGAGCAUGAUGUCAGAUGGUCUGAAAUGUCCUUUGGUCAACUGGGAUCACUUGUCCUGGCUGUGUCACCUACCAAUUCCCCGAACACCCCCAACUUCCUUCACCAGCCCAACAGUAGGGAAAAUAGGUCUUGGCUCUGUGCAAUCCCUGCUCAGCAGUAACAAAAACAUUUCAUUAUUAUCACCCCUGUGUUCAGCACAAAUCCAAACCACAGCCCCAUUCCAGCCACUGGGAAUAAGAUUAACCCUACCCCAGGCAAG